AGUGGCGGACGGGUGAGUAACGCGUGGGCAACCUGGCCUGUACAGGGGGAUAACACUUAGAAAUAGGUGCUAAUACCGCAUAACGGGAGAAGCCGCAUGGCUUCUUCCUGAAAACUCCGGUGGUACAGGAUGGGCCCGCGUCUGAUUAGCCAGUUGGCAGGGUAACGGCCUACCAAAGCGACGAUCAGUAGCCGGCCUGAGAGGGCGGACGGCCACACUGGGACUGAGACACGGCCCAGACUCCUACGGGAGGCAGCAG
rnacentral:rRNA from 1 species